CUCUGGAAUUCACGCACUUCCUGUGGACAAGGCUAGGCAGCAGUUUGUGCUAGGAGCUUGAGCAGGGAGGAGGCCCGCAGACAGUUUUCCUUCAGAUCGGUCACAGAGGUGGAUCUGGCUGAUCACUUCCUGUGAGCAGCCUGGGAGCCAGUUCAAUCCUGGAACUCAGCCUGGAGGAGCGCACUCAUACAGCUUCCUUGAGACGGUCUCAUGGAGGAAAACAGAAUAAACAACUCCAUCAAAGAAAAAGAAAUUGAACAAACUAUCAAAGAACUCCCUAAGAAAACGAUCCCAGAGCCUGAUGGAUUCAAAAGAGAAUCCUACCAAGCAUUCAAAGAACAACUAACUCCAAUACUACAUAAACUAUUUAGAAAAGAGAAGAGGGAAUAUUUCCUAUCUCUUUUCAUGAAAAAUAUGGAAUUGAUACUUACAACAGGAAGAACUGAAAAACAGAAGAAACACUAUAGACCAAAUUCCCUAAUAAAUAUUGAUGCAAAAAUUAAAAAAGGAAAAGGAAAAAAACAUUACCAAGGAGACUACAAAAUUGUGUCACAAGAAUCAUUCACCACAAUCAGGUGGGUUUUAUACCAAAAAUGUAGAGAUGGUUCAAUAGUAGGAAAAUCAUGAGCAUAAUUGAUCAUAUCAAUAAGAAAACCAACAGGAAGAAUCCAUAUGAUUGUUUCAAUAGAUGCAGAAAAAGCAUAUGAGAAAAACAUUAGAAAACAUUGAAAUCUUCCUUAAAGUGAUAAAUGGCAUCUAUCUAAAACCAUCACCAACCAUUAUCUAUAAUGAAAAUAAACUAAAACCCUUCCCAAUAAGAUCAGAGGGUAAAGCAAGGAUGUACAUUACCACCAUUUUUAUUUAAUAUUCACUAUAGCAACAGAGCAGAAAAAGAAAUUCAAAGAAUAAGAAUGAGCAACGAAGAAACAAAAUUAUUGGUCUUUGUAGAUGACAUGACGGUAUAAACCUAAAGGAUCCUAGAGAAUCAACCAUAAGAAAUAAACAACUCCAGCAAAGUCACAGGACACAAAAUAAACUCUCAGAAAUCAUCAGCAUUUCUAUUUACUACCAAUGAAAUCCAAUAGCAAGAAUUCUAGACAAUAUAAAAUACCUGAGAGUAUACCUGUCAAAAGGAACCCAGCAACUAUAUGAAGACAAUUAUAAAACUCUUCACACAAAAUAAGUCAGAUUUAAACAAUUGAAAGAACAUUAAUUGAUAGGCCAAGUCAAUAUAGUAAAAUGACAAUCCUGCCUAAAUUAAUUUACCUAUUCAGUGUCAAACCAAUCAAACUUCCCCAAAAAUUACUUCGUAGAAAAUAGAAAAAAUAACAAAGUUCAUCUAGAUGAACAAAAGACAAAGAUCAUCAAGGAAUUUAAUGAAAAAAAUAUAUAGAAGAGGGAGGCCUGGCUUUACUGGACUAUCUCAAACAAUAUAUAAAGUGUUAAUCAUCAAAACAAUCUGCUAUUGGCUAAGAAAUAUGGUGGUGGAUCAAUAAAUCAGGCAAUCAACACAUGGCAGUUAUUGUUCAUAGUAACUUAAUAAACUAGCAGAAUGGCAGAGAGACUUAGCAUAGACCAACAUCUCACACCAUACACAAAAUGAAUACCUCAUUUAGAAAUAUAGCAACAAUAUGACAACUUGUCAAGAUUUAUGAAUAAGGGAAGAAUUUAUGAACAAAAAAGAUACAGAAAACAUUAUGAAAAGUUAGAUAAUUUUUAUUACAUUAAAAGGUUUUUGUAUAAAUCAAACAAAUGCACCUAAGAUUUUCUAAGGGAACCAACAAAUUUGACAAAAGAUUCAUCUCUAAAAUUUAGAGAACUGAGUAAAUUUAUAGGAAUAUAAAGUAUUUCCCAAUUGAAAAAUGGUUGAAGGAUAUGAAUAGCAGUUCUUAGAGAGAAAUUAAAACUCUACAUUCAUAUGAAAAAAUGCUUUAAAUCUCUAUUGAUUAGAGAAUUGCAAAUUAAAACAACUUUGAUAUCCCACCUCCCACCUAUCAGAUGGACUAACAUAACCAAAAAAGAAAAUGUUGGAGGGGAUGUAGGAAAAUUGGGGUAAACUUAAAAAAACAAUACAUACAAAGGCAACAAAACUGAACAAAUUUUAAUAUUAAUACUUUUUUUUCCCUGAAAAUAUUAGAUUUUAUUCACACUCCCAAUGGUUUCUUUGUAGAUCACUAUGCCACAUUAAAAUACAAAAAUCCAUGAAUAAGCAGACAGUUACAAACAUUAGAUGUGGUCUAACUGAAAAUUCUCAAUAAUAUACUAGUCUAAAAAAAUAAAAGGAUAUAUUCCUCUUUUUCUUAAGAAUGAAAAUAAUUUAUCUCUUAGGGGAUGUACUUUGUAAAGAGAUUCUGUUUGAGAAUUUGUUAGUAAUAUUCUGGUGUGUCAAAUAAAAUGUAUUUUUAAAAAAUGUUUUAAGGCACUCUCUUGACAUAGGGAUAACUGGGCUAAUGUGAAAGCCAGAAAAACUUGCAUUCAAGUCUUACCCUCUGAAGUUGGGCAGGUCACUAAACCCUUUGGUGCUCUAAGAAUUUAAGUUACUGAGAAUGUGUCAAUCUACAAUGGUAGAGAUACAAUCACCUAUAAGUUUCUUCUACCAAUGAAAUCCUAGGUUCAGUCCCUAUCCCUAUAACUAAAUUUAAAAACAAAAAACAAAAAACAUUUGUCUUCUUCAGCUUUAGAAAAUUGAGCACUUGACAAGAGACCAGAAAGAUAAUUUUUAGGUUAGCUGACUAAGGCGUAAUUUUAAAGGUCUAGUUUAGCAGAAUUAAACAAGGAACUAGCAAUCUUCUAGGCACAUACUGUAAGGAAUGGCUAGGUGAUGGCGAACCUUCUAGAGAAUGCUGGGCCUUUAUUCAUCCCCCCAGACUGAGUACACUAAGCCACCAUUCUUCAUUUCCAACCUUGCCCAAGACAAGGGAGAGAAGAAGUAAUCUCAUUGGGUGGCUGGACAGGGGGGCAGAGGAAGUGAGGAAUGUCUUCAGGCACAUGGAGAGAGGGAGGGGAACAGAUCCACCCUGAGUCCCUUUGGCUUUCCAGUAAAGAACUCUGGUGGGCAACUGCAGGAAUGUCCAUAGACCCUUUGGCACACAUGCCAUAGGCUCCAUCAUCAUAGACCUAAGCUCUUAGUACUCUAAAAAUCCUGGAACAAGAAUGACUAAUGAAGAGGAAAGGGAGGGCCAACAGAAUGUGGUCUACCAUCCCCCCAUGGCACACUUCUU